AUUUUGCAGUGUGCACCACUUCUUUUAUGUUAAUUAUUUUGAAUAAACAGAAAAAAAUAUUACAGUCAUUUCUUAUAAUUUAAUUCUAAAUUCCAUUUUAAACGGUAGAAAUCCAUUAAAAAACGUUGAUGACAUCUCAGUCACAUGACUGAACUAUGUCUAUGGGCUGAUAACAAAAUAAUGUCAGCCAAUCAGAAGACGCGUUACAUCCAAAAUUAAAUUAUUACAGAAUAACAGCUAGGGUGCUGAAAUGAAAUAUAAAAAAUAGAGAUUUAAAAAAAUAAUUUAAAGAAUAAAGAUACAUGUAUACAGAACCCCUAUCUAGACCUUAAAUAAAUCAAGCCAUAUAAACACAUAAAUGACAAAUACUCUGAAAUUGUGUUUAGGUCAGACAGGAGUUUGUCUGCAAAAGACUAGUAACUCUCCAAUAAAAAAAGAAAAACUGAAAAAAACUGAGAAAGACAUGAUUCAUACAUAAAAUACAAAAUUUAAAAUCUCAAAUCAAAAAAUUAUAAACAGUCAGGGG
rnacentral:lncRNA from 1 species